AGAAAGGCAGACGGGGACUGGGCAAGGCACUGUCGGUGACAUCACGGACAGGGCGACUUCUAUGUAGAUGAGGCAGCGCAGAGGCUGCUGCUUCGCCACUUGCUGCUUCGCCACGAAGGAGUUCCCGUGCCCUGGGAGCGGGUUCAGGACCGCGGAUCGGAAAUUCUCCAGUACAAGAAGAGGUUCUCGGAGCUGGAGCAGCUGUUGGAGAGAUCCGGAGAGCUGGAGCAGCAGCAGCUGAGGGACGCAGAGCACAGCCAAGACCUGGAGAGUGCCCUCAUCUGGCUGGAGGAGGAGCAGCAGGGAGGGCCAGGGCUGGCAGCAUGGCCCCCUGGGCGAGCGCCUACUGAUCCCCUGUGCCCCAUUCAGGAGUGCCAGCCUGGCCCAGGUGAAUGCCAUGCUCUGAGAACAGCUGGACCAGGCAGGUUUGGCCAACCAGGCUCUGAGUGAGGAGAUACGAAAGGUGACCAGUGACUGGACUCGCAGCUGCAAGGAGCUGGAGCAGUGGGAGGCGGCAUGGAGGCGCGAGGAGGAGGUGGGCAUGGGGGUGCAGGGAGGCCGGCGAUAUAAGAGGAAGAUAAUGCACAAUUAUGCUAGUGAGACUCUCUUUUCCAAUAAUGUUUGCACUUCUCAAUACUACAUUUAAAAAGGAAAUAGGAGCACUUGAACGGUUAAGUAAGAAGAUGAACAAAAUUGAACAGAGGAAAAAUAACUGUCUGAAGACAUGUUGAAAAUACAUUUAAAGACAGUCUGUCUGAGACAGGAGCUGAGCUGGCCAAUCCAUCUUUUAAAUAAUUGAACAUCAUUCAGGUGUCAAGUAUUUGACCUGGAGCCUGGAAGGGGAGGAGAGAGUCCAAAAAAAAGUCAAAAUAUAAAGAAAAAAAAUUAAAGAACUUGUCCCACAAAUCAGGCAACCAAGGUCUAAACUUAUACCCUCUGCCUGGGUAAAUUGUUGUUGCUUCUUUCUGUGACUCUUAAAAGAUGUACCAUAUACCUCAUUUAAUGACUUUGCUUUAUUCAUGAAAACUCUAUCCCCAUGGGAAAAGCUGUUAAAUGAAAAAAGAUUUCUUUUAAGUAGAAAAAUUAUGAAAGGAUUCCUUCCAACCCUCCAUACCCAAAAUAUCUCAAAUGAAUUAUGUAUCUAUCAAUUAUCAAUAUAUAUCAAAAUAUACCAAUUAAAAAUAUCAGUUAAACAAUACGUCAAUUGAACUAUGAAAGCAAGCUUAUUUAAGUAGCAAAGAAUAACGUGAAGGUUAGUAAGUAUAGCUUAUACUUAAAAUACAAUGAAUUGAAAGCUCAUGGCACUUCAUAGAGUAGGAAGAAGAAACUUAAUAGAAAGUGGUAGUUGGGCGAGAAGGACUGCAAGGGAGUUAUUUGGAAAAUGCAUUUUUUAUUUCUGCAUCAUUUUGUUCACAAAUUAUUCCUAAUCUUUUGUGAAUUUGUGGAUUUCUUGAACUCAAACCAGACUUAAAAAUACAGUUAUAGCACAGAAAAAAAUCUUUAAUGGCAAAAUAAAAGCUAAGCAAGAGAGCCUUUCAAAACACAUGAAAAUAACACACACAUACAAAAAAAAAAGAAUAAAG
ensembl:lncRNA novel transcript